rnacentral:misc_RNA from 1 species
UCCGAGUUGACCCCGGCAGUCUCCUAUGAGUCCCCACCAUCACGUGCUGGCAACAUAGAACGAGGGUUGCGCUCGUUGCGGGACUUAACCCAACAUCUCACGACACGAGCUGACGACAACCAUGCACCACCUGUACACCAGCCCCACAAGGAGGAAAACUCAUCUCUGAGCCGAUCCGGUGUAUGUCAAGCCUUGGUAAGGUUCUUCGCGUUGCAUCGAAUUAAACCACAUGCUCCACCGCUUGUGCGGGCCCCCGUCAAUUCCUUUGAGUUUCAGCCUUGCGGCCGUACUCCCCAGGCGGGACACUUACUGCGUUAGCGACGGCACCGGGAGGGUCGCUCCCCCCGACGCCUAGUGUCCAUCGUUUACGGCGUGGACUAC